rnacentral:rRNA from 1 species
AACGAACGCUGGCGGCAUGCCUAACACAUGCAAGUCGAACGAGACCUUCGGGUCUAGUGGCGCACGGGUGCGUAACGCGUGGGAACCUGCCCUUAGGUUCGGAAUAACUCCCCGAAAGGGGUGCUAAUACCGGAUAAUGUCUUCGGACCAAAGAUUUAUCGCCUUUGGAUGGGCCCGCGUUGGAUUAGCUAGUUGGUAGGGUAAAAGCCUACCAAGGCGACGAUGCAUAGCUGGUCUGAGAGGAUGACCCGCCACGCUGGAAAUGAGACACGGCCUAGACUCCUACGGGAGGCAGCAGUAGGGAAUAUUGUACAAUGGGCGAAAGCCUGAUCCAGCAAUGCCGCGUGAGUGAUGAAGGCCUUAGGGUUGUAAAGCUCUUUUACCCGGGAUGAUAAUGACAGUACCGGGAGAAGAAGCACCGGCUAACUACGUG